CUCAAGUGGUAAGAGUGGUAGCCUGAGCAAAAUCACUCAGGGACAAUGCCAAGACCCUGAGUUCAAGCUCCAGGACUGGCACAAAAAAUAAAAAUUAAAAAUAAAAAGGACCCUGCCUAUAUUUAGGUGAGGAGGCAGAAGCUGGAGGAUUUCAAGUUUCAGACCCUAACAGGUAAAGCUCGCAAGGCACUAUCUCAAAAACAAAAUAAAAAAUGGGCUAAAGUAAAGGCUUAGCUCAAGUUAUAGAGAUUUUGCCUAGCAUGGUUAAGGUCCUAG